rnacentral:rRNA from 1 species
UACGAAGGGGGGCUAGCGUUGCUCGGAAUGACUGGGCGUAAAGGGCGCGUAGGCGGCUUGUAUAGUCGGAUGUGAAAUUCCUGGGCUUAACCUGGGGGGCUGCAUACGAGACGUAUGGGCUUGGAGUGCGGAAGAGGGUCGUGGAAUUCCCAGUGUAGAGGUGAAAUUCGUAGAUAUUGGGAGGAACACCAGUGGCGAAGGCGGCUCACUGGACCGGUACUGACGCUGAGGAGCGAAAGCGUGGGGAGCAAACAGG